rnacentral:rRNA from 1 species
GAUGAACGCUAGCGAUAGGCUUAACACAUGCAAGUCGAGGGGCAGCAUGGUCUUAGCUUGCUAAGACUGAUGGCGACCGGCGCACGGGUGCGUAACGCGUAUGCAACUUGCCUCACAGAGGGGGAUAACCCGUCGAAAGACGGACUAAUACCGCGUACACUCUAUUUUGGGCAUCCAAGGUAGAGGAAAUGAAAUUCGCUGUGAGAUAGGCAUGCGUCCCAUUAGCUAGUUGGUGAGGUAACGGCUCACCAAGGCGACGAUGGGUAGGGGAACUGAGAGGUGGAACCCCCACACUGGUACUGAGACACGGACCAGACUCCUACGGGAGGCAGCAGUGAGGAAUAUUGGUCAAUGGGCGAGGGCCUGAACCAGCCAAGUCGCGUGAAGGAUGACUGUCUUAUGGAUUGUAAACUUCUUUUGUAGGGGAAUAAAGAGGGGCACGUGUGCCCCAGUGAAUGUACCCUACGAAUAAGCAUCGGCUAACUCCGUG